rnacentral:rRNA from 1 species
ACGCUCGACACCUACGGAGGCAGCAGUGGGGAAUAUUGCACAAUGGGGGAAACCCUGAUGCAGCGACGCCGCGUGAGCGAAGAAGUAUUUCGGUAUGUAAAGCUCUAUCAGCAGGGAAGAAACUGACGGUACCUGACUAAGAAGCACCGGCUAAAUACGUGCCAGCAGCUGCGGUAAUCUGAGGCGGGCUGGCAAGGC